rnacentral:rRNA from 1 species
CGAGCACGCGCGUGUGGCAUAUCAAUAAGCGGAGGAAAAGAAACUAACAAGGAUUCCCUUAGUAACGGCGAGUGAAGCGGGAAGAGCUCAAAUUUGAAAUCUUCAAGGUUCUACCUUGACGAAUUGUAGUUUAUAGAAGUGUUUUCUGUUAGUGGAGUGGCAAAAGUUCUUUGGAAUAGGACAUCAUAGAGGGUGAGAAUCCCGUAUUUGGUCAUUCCUCCUAGCGUUGUGAUACACUUUCAACGAGUCGGAUUGUUUGGGAAUGCAGUCCAAAAUGGGUGGUAAAUUUCAUCUAAAGCUAAAUAUUGGCGAGAGACCGAUAGCGAACAAGUACCGUGAGGGAAAGAUGAAAAGAACUUUGAAAAGAGAGGUUAAGCAGUACGUGAAAUUGUCAAAAGGGAAGCGUUUGACACCAGUGUUGUUUUUCCGAAAAUCAAUUACGAAUGUUUUAUUUUUGAGGAGUUAUGACUUCAUCGGCUUGCUCCUUUCUUUACUGAAACUUUCUUAAUGCACUUUUCGGUUAACAAGUCAACAUCAAUUUCUUUUGUUGUAAAAGGGUAUGAGGAAGGUGGCUUUCUUUUCGGAGAAAGUGUUUAUAGCCUUGUGCCUCUGCAAUCGGAGAGAUUGAGGUCUGCAGCGUAGAUCCUUCGGGGUUAGAUACGUUUGUGCUAAGUUAUAGCUUUUCAUAGACAACUUGUUGACUAUGUUUAGUCUUGUAGCUUACUCGCUUAUGCUAUUUUACCUACGCUUAGGAUGUUGAACUCUAUCACACACAG